rnacentral:rRNA from 1 species
GACGGAGGGGGCUAGCGUUGUUCGGAAUUACUGGGCGUAAAGCGUGCGCAGGCGGUUGUGCAAGACAGAUGUGAAAUCCCCGGGCUUAACCUGGGAAUUGCAUUUGUGACUGUACGGCUAGAGUGUGUCAGAGGGGGGUAGAAUUCCACGUGUAGCAGUGAAAUGCGUAGAGAUGUGGAGGAAUACCGAUGGCGAAGGCAGCCCCCUGGGAUAACACUGACGCUCAUGCACGAAAGCGUGGGGAGCAAACAGG